GGAAGGAUGGCGCCGUUUGCUUGCUCUUGGCUUGUCCGUGGCGUCAGCGGAUGUUGGUUAUGGGUUUGGGGCUCUGGGACCUUGACGGAGCUCUGCAUCCCAGUUUCCAUAUUUUGAGUGCUUGCCUUGCCAUGGGACGGGAAUGCUCGUUGCUUCUGUAUAUAGUGCUACGUGGGUGCUUGCUUCUAAGUAGUAGGGAGUAUGUCUCGAUCGAAGGUACACAAGGAAGUGAGCUUAGAUGAGUAGAAUGGAGAAUUUCACUAUUACUAGUCUGGUCCGAGCCUUUCUAGACUCGCUCAUAUGGGAGUUGCUAUUUAUUAUCAGUAUCUUAUUUUCUACGAGUAGAAUAGUCCGAGGUUUUUCACGAUGACCAGUUGCUUGUGCACUCGGUUCCAACCCAGUUGUUGUGGUCACUGUCACUGGUCACUACUCUACUCUUCACCUGCGCCACCUUUGCUGUGACGACGCUGCCUCAACCAUCCAUCUAUAUCCCAGCAAGGCCAGAUUCUCUCAGGUGUCAGCAUUAUGCUCCUAUCCCACACCUCUAAGGCUGGCCAUAGUGGGAGUAAUUUAGGUGGUAUCAUGUAUUUGGAACUAACAAACAUGUUAAUGUGGUAGUCAAUUAAAGAUGAAAGAUAGGGUUAGAGUAACAUAGGUUGAUACCGUAACAUGUUAAAUGUGUC
rnacentral:lncRNA from 1 species